GGCAACUUGGCCGAGCGGUCUAAGGCGCCACGUUAAGGUGUUAAACACUUAAUCAUUAUCCGUGGUCCGAAAGGGCGUGAGUUCGAAUCUCACAGUUGUCA